rnacentral:rRNA from 1 species
CCUGGUAGCGGGGGAUAGCUAUUGGAAACGAUAGCUAAUACCGCAUAACAGUAGAUAUUGCAUGAUAUCUGCUUGAAAGGUGCAAAUGCAUCACUACCAGAUGGACCUGCGUUGUAUUAGCUAGUUGGUGAGGUAACGGCUCACCAAGGCGACGAUACAUAGCCGACCUGAGAGGGUGAUCGGCCACACUGGGACUGAGACACGGCCCAG